UUUCUGCUCCUAUAGUAACUAUUCCCAAAAUUAAAACCAACCCUCCUUGCAUCUGAGUUAUAAAUUUUAUAUACCUCUUCUUUUGAAGAAAAUGCAUUUCACUUCUAGAUUUGAAUGUGAACCAACAACUAUGUUCGGUAAUGAAUUUUCAUCUUGAGUAGAUAUCUACAUAUAUUAAAUAAUUAAAAAAAUGUCAAGUCCUCCAAAAUAAUAACAGCUCUAAUAACACAUUCAGAAGUAGUACUUAAUCGAUUAUAAUG
rnacentral:lncRNA from 1 species